UAUUAUUAUUCAUCAGACCAACAACAAAAAGGAGAUAAAGAGAAGAGGAUUCAUCAUCAUCAAUCAAUCCUUCAUU
rnacentral:sRNA from 1 species